rnacentral:misc_RNA from 1 species
AAGGGCGCUGGUUCAGGCA